CUCUUAACACUUGCAUCCCUUCAGAGACACAGCCAGACAGUACUGGCUUCUCUCCCUAUGUGUCUGAAGAAAGACUUGUACCCUUCGCUUCAACUGUAGGGUCCAAUCAUAAUGAAAAUGGAUGCAUGUGGGCAAGUGGAGAGAGAAUAACACACAAAACACAGAAAUAAUAUGCAGAAACUGAUGCUCAGAGAGAAACAGAUGGGCUUGCCUUAGGGUUUUUUUUGCCCUGCCCUCCGUCAGCCCAGAAUGAAACGCUGCUACUUCUCUGUGUACCUGAAGGGAAGGCCUGGGGUUAGUGGGAGAGAUUUUAGCACAGCAGGCAUUACGACUGGAUGUUAUUCAUUAGCCGUCCUGGGCUGUGUGGAUGUUUUCACAGGCCCCCUCUCUUCCUAGGUCCCCUCGCCUCACCCACAUUGCUGCUGACCUCACGGCCUCCCCAUUUCUUCUGAGAUCCCAGGCCCCUCACUGCAGCCUCUGCAGACAGCUCCAAGGCUCUGCUUGUGUUAUUGAACGAAGCAGUUGAGUUCUAUUUGGCUUAAUCCAUACCCACCCAGACCAGCUUAGUCAGUGGCCUCAUGUCUCACAUCCUAAGGGCCCGUCAGUCAAAUGGAUAUUUCAGUAGAAAAAACCAUCCGCGGGAUCAUGGGGCUUCCCCAGAAGUCAGAAGCAGUCGAAACUUCUGAUUGUUUUCCAUAGAAAUUGUUUCCUUCCCCCAAUGUGGAACGUGGGUAUGAUAGAGAGAGGGGGAGGUUGGAUAGGGGCUGGAGGAGCCUGCACCCAACUCCCUGCUCUGCUCAUACCUGAGGAGCCUGCGAAUUCCCUGUGUUAGGUCUUCUGCGGGAUUUACUACCUUUGCCCCGGGGAGAGGCCGGUAGCUUGGUGGUUGAGUGUGCUACCUACUGAAUGAAUAGGCCGCUUGGGAAAUUUCAUGGAAUUGACGGUUCAAGACUGAGUUCAACACAACCUUGGGCGAGUACUUGAUGAGCAGGAAAAUGGGCUUUCAAACACAGUGGUCUCCCCUUGAUAGUUAUGACCCUUUCUAUGACGAGUUUCCUUCCUUCUCCGGGCUUCAGGCUGCACAACCCUGACACUGCCUCCUGCACCCCCAGCUACAUUCCAUCCACCAUGAGGCAUUGAGAUGCCUUUUGACAUGAACUAUGUUCUCCCUGAAGGCAGGGCCUCGGCAGCAGAGAACUCCCCCUUGGGUAAAGGGGAAUAAAGCAAAGGGCCAAGGAGUUUUGGCUUUGUUUUUCUUCUUUAUGGCCUGGUCCACUUCUGCAUCUAUGGCCAGCCUUCCUCUGCAGUAGCAGUAGCCUUACUUUUCCUCCUAUUUCAUCAUCUAUGAAAUCUACCACAUGCAAGACAGGUCCUCCUACCUUCCUCCCUCCCUCUCUUCUUCCUACCUACCCCUCCAGGGUAAACAGGCUGCUCAAUUUGCCACCCAAACAGGAUUUGGUUUAGUUUAGCAAGAUGUCUAGCUUGUAGAGACAAUGAUUAUCCCUGCCUGAAGACUACCGUGCAUUGACCUGGAGGGGCCAACAUCAAGAAUGAGCCCGAUUGUCUUUUUGUGUAGUAGCAUUGACAAACAGAACCAUGGGAAGGGGACAGGGUUUUUGUCUGCUCAACUCUACCUGCAGAACAAAUGGCUAAAAAUCAAACCCAGGGCUGAGCUAGAGAUUCUGCCCCCUGUCUCUGUGGCAAGUAUCACACACAGUAUUUGUUGAUUAUCAGUUCAUUGAACCAUAUACAUGGUUUCCUUUCCUGAGAAAUAACUACAAGGAUUGAAUUCCUGGUGGUUCACAGACUGUUUUAAGGACAUUGGUGUCCUGUCUCUUGAUUCUUUUCCAGGCCCCCUUAAAAGCCCCAAUUCUUAUAAAACACUCCUGUUUCAAUCACCUUGCACAGACUUUCCUUGCAGUGUUCUCCUUCAGAAACCAGCUAUUUAGGUUUAUGAUGAAUAAACAAAAGCAUCCACUAGCAUGGACUAGUGAAGGCUGUUUGGGUUUCGAGUGGUCUUUGGGUGAAGAAGGGCUCUGUUGCCUUUGAGGAAACGCUUGGCUUUUGGGACCCAAGCUUUCCCACCCAUGAAAAAUCAGAGCUCUAAGGCACAGGCCAGAUACCUGGAGAGUGCUGUAUCAAUUAAUAUUUGUGUAAGUUUGGGUUCAAAUAACUUUAGAAGUUAUGUUUCAAUACAUGUGGAGGCCCAUGGGGCUUGUGAAAGCUCUGGAAGGGACAGUGGUUGUUGUCAUGCUCUGGCUGUGCCAGUCCAAAAUGGAGAAUCUGCAGUGCAUUGACUCAGACUUGGCACAGCCAGACACCAUCCUUAGGUCCUGCAGUUCUGGAUGCUCAUUCUUCCCUCCCUUUCUGCCUCCUUGACAAAGGUAGAAAGUAGAUGGUGCAUGACUUUGUUGUUGAGUGAAAGGUGAGCACUGCCAUGAUCCAAAGGUGAAGACAUAAUCAGGUCUGAGGGUUUGUUUCACACAGAUCUUUGUCACCUUCAUUCUAUAAAAUCUCAGAGGCCGGUAGCUUGGUGGUUGAGUGUGCUACUCACUGGAGAGGACCAGUGUUUUCAGUGGUGGAAUAAAGAGUUAGAAUGUGUCAUCUCUUCUACUCUCUUUUCCUCACCAAGCAUUACCCCUUUUCCUUCUCAGUCUUUCUGGGUGUGUACUUGGAUUUUGAUUGAAGAGAUGGGGAGGGCAAGGAGCAAAAGAGAACUGAAACAAAGAGACUAGAAAGAGAGAGGAAGUUGGGUGACAGGAUGCCUUCUGGAAAGAGUUGGGGCGUGCUGACAGGUAUCAUGUGAUAUCUGCCUUCCUGGGGAAACAACCUCAUCACUCCAUGAGAUGGGUGAGCCCUGUGAUGGACCCAAGUCCAUCCUGUCCAAUUACCAACAACAGUCCCUAGUUAAUCAGGGAACUCACAUCCAGAUGGAUCUGUUCAUGGAUGGUUUCCGAGAAGGAAAGAAAGACCGUGAGGUCCUCAAGGGAAUAUGCAGAUCCGGACCAGGGACAGUGUUCCAGGGGCUACAGCAUCCUUCUUGCUCCACAGGAGGAAGUAGUCCUGUAAGAUAAAGCAGCAAGUCCAGAAAAUAUCUCACAAUAGGUGUCCUGCAGGCCAUCCUGAGCCACUAAGGCCAAGUGGAAAAGAAGCAAUUGUCAGGGUGAGGUCCAGCUUGCUGGAUGUGGAGAAUGCAAGGGAAGGGGAAGCCCCUCCUUGGUUAUUGCUUUCCUCAAGAUGGCAAGGAGCAUCUGAACAUUUGCUCUAUGAGGGCCAGGCCUUCAUCUUCCAUCGAGAAAAAAGAAAAUUGUUUCAGCACAAUACUCAGUUUCUUUGGUUUCAGAAAUUUCAAAUAGCAAAACGGGGGAACAUUUAUUGCCUGAAGUGAUGGCCAAAAUGCCCUUCUUUGCCCUGAAAUAAUCCAAGCAUCUGAAAAACUUAUAAAUAUGAUAACUCUUCUAGAAACUUUCAUGGGCAGACUGAGGAUGUGAGAGGUGGAAAGUGAGGGAGUUUAUUAGUUAGACCUCGGGACAGUGGGGGCGGGGGGAUGCUCUCCAUGGCCAAAGUUAGAGUAUUUUUAACAAGGGCAAGGACUGAGGUAACAUGUGAAGCAAGAACUGAAUAUGUCAUUAAGCCAGAGAAGGUGAUUCAUCUGGAACUUGGCUGAAAUCAAGAGCCAAAGGAAGCCAAAGGAAGAAGGGGGAAAAUACAUAGUCAGAUCUUAAUAGGAUGAAGCAGAAGAGUGGUCCUGGAUGACGAAUCACUAGUGGAAUACUCUUGUUUGCAAUAGUCUUCUACAUGCAUCUGCCAAGGAAUAUAUAGGAACAUUUAGUUACAUCAAUGGGACAAGGGAGACACCCCUUUCCCAACUUUUGAAUCCCUCCUAGUGGCAUUCAAUAGAAAUUUCCUAGAUUCCCUGAUGAAAAAGUGUACUGGAGGUGGAAAAUGGAGAUACCAAGAAACAGCUCUUCUGGUCUGUGCCUUUCCUGAUAGAAGUAGGUACCAAAGCUGGCCAUGGUGUCCAUGGGGACAGAUGGUUCUCCAGUGAUGAACCCUGGGACCCCAAGCAGGGUCAUCAAAAUGUGUGGGCAGUGAGCAGGAGCUGGAUAAGUCAGCCACAGAGGUACCCAGGGGAAGAUGGGGCAAUUGCCUGUGAAGGGGGGGGAGGUUGACAGAACUGGAAGGC